rnacentral:tRNA from 1 species
GGCUUGGUGGCAGAGUGGUUAUGCAGAGGACUGCAAAUCCUUGUAUGCCGGUUCGAUUCCGACCCAAGCCUCCA